UAUAUCUUCGCUAUAUUAUAGUCACCUGCGUAACAAAACAUACGCACAGCAAAUUGCAUUAGGUUAUCGAGGCAUAUAAAAGGAAUCGCAGGUGAAGCGCAAAUUCAGUAUUAAUUAUCGAAUCAAUUAUACGGUAUAAAACUCGGUUUAACUCGACUCGUGUGGUUUUUUGUCCCUUUUUGUAAUUUUUUUCCCCCUUCGGCAUAAUGAAGCCUGUUUUCUUUUAUGUUGCGGUGGCAGUUUGCUUUGUUCAUGCGAGUGUUGCUUUGCCUACUACAGCUGGACCGACUGACACAACCUCAUCUGGUAAGAUAAUGCAAACAACCAUCACGGGGAAGUCCUUACUGGAGACGAAAACAACGUCUGAUGGAAUCCGAGAAGAUAAGACGACAAUCGCUGAAAAUCAAGAUACAUAUAUAACAGGUUCAUCCACACCAGGACCAACUCGUACUACGACACUAAAACUCGAAAAAAUCGAUUCAACUCCAAUUACACCUACAACUGCAUCACCCGUUCCCGAAGAGUCGAGAACAACUGGAACUGGUAUACCUGCAACCAUAACCACCACCACAACUACGAAAUGUUAAAUUGAUAAUAUUCGCCAACAACGUUCGCGAAAUUAUUAUCCGAUUUUAAAUUACGAGUAGGUAUUUCCGUAUAUUAUGGUAGGUACUUUAAGAGCAGAUUGCUUUAAAAUUCGUCAUUAGUAGGUUUGUUUGAUCGAUAUGUAGUAUUUGUUUACAUGUGACGAUAUUAUACCUCUAUAUACAAAUGUAAUUCGUUUUAUAAUGAAAAUACACUGUAAAGAUUUACGCGCUUGGAAAACUUUCAUAUAUGAGCGGAUUCUGCGAUGGUAUAAGCGGCGUACUUAAGCCGAAAAGCCUCACUCUCUGGAAGCUGUGUUCGAAAAAGGCAUUCGGUAUUCGGCAUCCUGCACACCGUUGCUGGUACUCGUAUAGUACUACAAAGGCGUAUCAUCGAAUAAAAUUGCCUGACGCUGGUUCACGCGACGACGAUGAAAUUGUUUUUCAGCCGAAUAGAGCGAUAAGAUUAAGCUUUAAAAAAAUUUCAAGCCGCAUUUAAUUUCGAUUUUCGCGACGACGACGAAGGCGACGUCUUGAUAAAAAUCACCUUUCGCUGGAGGCAGCGUGCGCCAGUGCCACCCGAACCGAAAGCAAGAAGAAGAAUUUAAUCAAGCCAAAAAUACGACAAGACGACUUCGCAGACGACGAGGCAGCAAAAGAUGUUUCGAUUUUAUAACCCGUAAAUUUCCAACACAUUUCUUCGCAUAUACUGGCUGGCUGGCGUACCUACACAUGUGAGCUAGGGUAUGGGUUCGCCUCUCGGUCUCGGCUUCUUCCGUUCUCUGUAGAAACAGUAUGUCUAGUCGAGUAGAAAUAAUCAGCCCUGGAUUGUAUUCAAAGAAACAUAUUUUUCACCUUCUAUUUAACACUAAGACUAGAAACAAUAUGUAACCUGGUUAAAAGCUCAGGUAGGUACCUAGACCUAAAUUUACCACCAUACUACGUCUACAUAAUUUACAUACGCACUUACUCAGGUCACCGUAUUAUAAACAAUACGCUAUACAUCGCCAGACAAGGGUGAAUAUGCUGUAAAAGCUUCUUUCGUACUGGUAAUUUCUCGCAAAUAGUCGAGACUAAAAUUACCAUUAUUCUGGACACUUAUGAUGGGGUGUUCGUAAAUUACUAGUAUAAUGCAUCGUAGGUAGGUACGAGUAUUGGCCUUUUUACCCUCUUAAUUUCGGAUUUUUUUUUUCAAUAGCUACACUGUAUGAUUUUUUUUUCACACGAAGAAUAGUCUCGAAUUUUUCAACCAUUCGCUACGCGAUAUUUUAUGGUAAGCGUAGAUUAUAUAUAUAAAAAAAAGUUUCCCAUUUUAUGACGCAAUAUCCAAGUGUUGCGAAUUUUACUGCGAUAACGUUAUUUAUUGUUUUAUGAUAAGCAACAGCCAGCCGAGCCAUCGUUAAAAGUAGGCUCGAGACGUUAAGGAAGAGCAAAGAGUUGUGAUUUUAAGCAAUUCGAAUACUUCCUUCGAGAUGAAGUUAAUAAUAUAGCGUAGGUGGAAUUUUACCUUGACAUAAUUGGAAAAUUAUCACGAUAGAAGGGUGAGGAGGGAAGAGAGGAGAAUGAUAUUAAUUUUUGUUUAUUUAUGGGUAUUUGCAGCGGGUAAUUUUGUUUACUCAUCUCGGAAGAAAUUCAAGACGUCAACAUGUACGUAUGAUCAAUAUAUUACACUGAAUCAACGUUCAUUAACGAAAAACCGUGCUUCAGAAAUAAACUCCAUUCAUCAGCGUGAGUCUGAGUUUCAUCGAGGUUGAUAACGGUAAAUUUGAAGAGAUGAAGCGGGUCCGCUGACUGCAAGAUAGUUUCAGCCUGGCUUUGUGUUUUAUUUUAGUGAAAAACGCAACACUAAAAAUUUCAAUUUUGUAACAUAGCGAAAUAACAGAAUGAACAAAAAAUUUGUUACGUACAACACCGAUUUUUUUCAGCUGAGUGUAUGAUGUAUUAUUUUCUGUCAAUAUUGUUGUACUUCAACUUUAAAAAUGUUCCUAUAAAAAAAAAAUGUUUUGACACUUG